AACUAAAGAUUGUAGCUUUUCAUUUAUUUCAUGUUGAAAUCAACAUGCUUUUAAUAUUGAAAUAAAACUUGCAAGAAGGAACAGAGCCAGUCACAAGUCAGCAGCAAGUCAUUCUGUGCUCACACAGAAAUGUGUUAUACUUUUAGCAGACUUUAGGUUAGACUUGCUCUCUGCAAUUUUCAGACAGGAAAGUGUGUGCAAUGUCAGUUCGGGCAGUCACAGUUCUCCGUUCACCCGUUGAAACCAAUCAAUCAACCUUCAACUAAACGGACCUGUCAUAUCAAAUCCCUGGAAAGACGGUUCCAGCACACUCCACUGCUCAUCUGGGCAGCUGCAAUGAACGGAAUGGGUUGGGAAAGGGACAUCUUGGAGAGUCGAGCGUUGUGAAGAUGGAAAUAUCCCGCAGUGGCAUCCCCCUCUCUUGAUGUUUCAAUGUGCUCAGGUCUGUCCCAGCAUUCCAGUCCCAAAAAACAAGGAGGCGGAGAAUAUCAGCACGAAAUUUCCUCAUCAAUUUAUGGAUUAAAUGCCGAAUUUAUAAAGCCAACAUGAUUUUGCCCUCUCUUACUUUGGUUCUGAUGGUCGGUUGUAUCUGCUUCUCGACUGCUACUGAAAUAAAGAGGAUUGAGGAGCAGGAUGUUGUGCUACCAUGUCAGCAUCGGUUUGGUCAUUUAGUAACAAAGAACCUGGAUAUUGAGUGGCUUUUACAGGAGUCUGACCGAAAUCAGAAAGUGGUGAUCACUUAUUCGUCGGGCUCUGUGUAUGAGAACGUAAGUGAAAAGCAGAGAGGGAGAAUCUCCUUUGCAGCAGAUUACUUGAUGGGUGAUGCUUCCAUCAAAAUUUCUUCCCUGCAGGCGACAGAUUCUGGACUGUACACAUGCAAAGUGAAAAAUGCAGGAGAGUAUGAUUUGAAAUCUGCCAUUAAUCUUGUGGUCUUGGUUAGACCCUCGAAACCUAUGUGCUGGACACAAGGGCAGCUUCUGCAAGGGAAUGACAUUAAACUUCAGUGUAGGUCGGAAAAAGGCACUGAACCUAUCUUCUACAGGUGGCAACAUAUUUCGGAUACUGAGGGACAGCAGACCAAAUUUCAAACUCGUUCACACAUAGAUUCGAGAACACCAGAAAUGCUGCUACUGAGGAACUUAAGCCACACAAAUGCCGGAGUGUACCAGUGCAGUGCCACAAAUGAAGCAGGGCAGCAAAGUUGCUUUGUGAAUAUAACAAUUACGUAUGCAAAAGACCCUGGGAUCAUUGCUGGUGCUGUUAUUGGAGUUAUGCUUGGUCUCCUGCUAAUCUUCCUUAUUGUUUGGUGCACAUUGUACAGGAAAACAAAGCGCAAAUAUGAGGAAGAAGAACAACCAAAUGAGAUUAGGGAAGAUGCAGAGGCACCAAAGGCAAAGCUCAAUAGCACGCAAUCCUCAGUGGGCACUGGAAGCACACAAUCUGGAUCCUGCUCAGUUAAGUCCAUCCGAAAUGGUACCCCUUAUUCCCAGCAACCUCGCACACCAUCGACCAAAGAAGACAAAGGACCAGUUUCUUACACAACAACAGAGGAAGUCAAGACCAAUAAAAAUGGACCUACACAGGCACAUAUGAGAAGAUUGGGUGCUGUCCCUGUUAUGAUACCGGCUCAGUCCAGGGCUUUCCAGACUGUGUGAAUACAGUUUAGUUGGCAAAUUACUGGGUAAUUCGGGAGCUUUCACUAUUUAGUGGAGAUAUUGAUCUUAGGAUGCCUGAUCUAAACUAGUAUGAUAAAGCAGUCACUAGAUGAACCACCUGUGUAUAUUUGGUUCUAUUGACUUUAAUGGAUCAGGAUGAUGGGUUGGGAGUAAGUUUGGUAUUGAAUGAGGUUUAAUGCUGGCAACCAAAGAUGAAUUUCUCCUAUUAAAUUUAAAACAGUCAAGUGUGAAAUGUCCUCACCCACUUUUCCGAUGUUGAUUUGAGCAAAUUAAGCUCAGUAAACUGGGUGGAAUUACAUAAACCAGAUAUCAUCUCAUUUAUUGACUGGAUCUCCAGAAAAUCCAGCUAUCUUUUGAACAGAUGAAUCUAGUUUGCACAUUCUUAAUUUAGGCCUUUAAUUUUGCCUGAAUGCCAUAUGGAUCUAAUGAAAACUUGUAUUAGUUUGUGGGAUAUUUUAAUGUUGUUCUGUGUUAGGUAAGUGAUGCUCACAAUGUUUUAAAGUGUUAUUGAAAAUAGUUUACCUCGGGUGGUUGUAAAAGGUACCACGAUACUAUUUCAAAAGAAGAGCAGGAGAGUUAUCACUGGUGUCCUGGGCAGUAUUUAUUCCUCUGACAACAUUACUGUAAAACAGCUUAUCUGGUUACUAUCACAUUGCAUUUAGUGGGAGCUAGUUAUGCAUAAAUUGUCUACAGCAUUUCCUACAUUACAGAUGACAUUACAAUGUAAAAGUACUUUGUUGGCAGUAAAGCAUUUUCAAAGGACCUGAGGCAAUGAAAGGCACCACAGAAAUCCAAGUUUUUACUUUCUCUUCUAUUUUAUUCCAGCCUGCAAACGGAUUUAAUUUUGCUAAGAUUGCACUGGGAUCCUCCUGUGUGAAGAUUCCAGAUCAACCCGGUGGUUAGCCUAUUCCCAAUAUGUUUUUUUUAAAUCAUAUUUACAGUCAGUUCCACAUGAAUUAAUAUUGGGCAUUCUUUUUGUCCAUCUCAUUCCAUUACAUAUAACAGGAUUUCUUGGCAAUUUUAGGCUGUGCAUAUUUAGUACUAACAUACACACAAAGGAAAAAUGGCAAUCAAACUAGUCAUCUGCAAUAAGCAGUUUGUCUGAAGAAGGGUCUCGACCCGAAACGUCACCCAUUCCUUCUCUUCAGAGAUGCUGCCUGUCCCUCUGAGUUACUCCAGCAUUUUGUGUCUGUCUUCGGUUUAAAUAAGCAUCUGCAGUUCCUUCCUACACAUGAAUUUAAAUAUAUCAGCUUUUGGAGGAUCAUGCACAUGCAUUCUUAAUGUAAUGGGAAAACAUGCAUGUGCAUCUAACACCUUGCAUUUAUACAGUAUUUUUGUAUGAUUACUAAGUUAGGCCCAUGCCCUUGCUUUCCCCCCUCCCCAACCUUUCUUGUGCAAAUCCCUGUGAAUGGUGUACUAAUAUUCUUUGGUUCAGGACAUUCUAUUAAUCUGCUAUUUUUAGAAUAUGUGCCUAAAUAAAGCAUUGUAAAUAUAACUUGAGUAUUAAUCAAAGUAAACCACUUUAACAUUCAGUGGAUGCUCUACAUGUUUUAUUUGGUUAGAUACAAAAAUAAAUAGGAAACCAUAACAUUUCAUGCUGCAAAAAAAGCUGUGAUUCAGUCCUAACUAAUAGUCAUAUAUGGAAAGAAUAGAGAAAUUGUGGGUAGAAUGAAUGGAGCUUAAAUUUUCUUAUCAAAAUUAAAUAGUGCUAAAUGUUAAAAGGGAUAACGAAAAUGCUGUAAUUCUUGGACUGUGGUAUAAUGUUUCCUUUUAUAGUUCUGUUUGAAGUUUUCUCCUUAAAGAUGCUUCAUUAGAAAAAUUAAAGAGACUCCAACCUUUAAGGGAUCAUCUUUAAACUGUCAUACACGAUGCUUGCUCACAUCUCAAUGCAUAGUAUGACAUGAAAGUAAGAACACUGUUCCUGCAAAAUGCAACACAAAUUAAAGUUUCUUAUUUCAAGUGUAAAUGUAUAUUUUUGUAAUUUACCACAACAUGUUCUGUUUUGGAUGUUGUAAGUAAUCUCCAUAAAAUUAAAAUAAAAAGGCCAAUCAUC